CAGUAGCCGCGGGAAUACGUAGGUGGCAAGCGUUGUCCGGAUUUAUUGGGCGUAAAGCGAGCGCAGGCGGUCAAUUAAGUCUGAUGUGAAAGCCCCCGGCUCAACCGGGGAGGGUCAUUGGAAACUGGGAAACUUGAGUGCAGAAGAGGAGAGUGGAAUUCCACGUGUAGCGGUGAAAUGCGUAGAGAUGUGGAGGAACACCAGUGGCGAAGGCGACUCUCUGGUCUGUAACUGACGCUGAGGAGCGGAAGCGUGGGGAGCGAACAGGAUUAGAUACCCGAGUAGUCCCUGUCUCUUAUAC
rnacentral:rRNA from 1 species